AUUCAUGGGUCAGUUAGGUUGUUAUUCAUUAGAUCCUUCACUUAUUCAUCUACAAUCAUGGAUCUUACCUUAGUUCAUUCAUCUUUACUCAUCCUAAGACUCAUUACUCGUGGAUCAAUUUUCUAGGUUAAAGACUCCAUACCAUGAAUCAAUAUCCAUCAUAAGACUCCUUACUCACGGAUCAAUUCUUACUUUAGUUAAUUCAUCUUUACUCAUUCUAAGGCUCCUUACUCAUGGAUCAAUUCUAGGUUAGUCAAGGCUCAGUACCAAGGAUCAUUCUAGGUUAAGACUCUUUCACGGAUCAAAUUUAGCUUGACUCACUUCUUGCGGAUCAAAUCACUGUUAUUCAUCGUGAGUCAAGCACCUUUUUCAUUAGUUUAACGUAAGACUCAUUUUCACGGAUCAAAUUUAGCUUAAAGACUCACCUUCACAGAUCAAUCAAUUACUAAGAUGAGUUAAUUUUAGGUCUUACUCAUAGGUUUGUGGACUCCUUACUCACGGAUCAAAAUUAGGUUAAGACUCCUUACUCACUGAUCAAAUUCUAGCGUUAAGUCGAAUUCAACUUUACUCAUCAUUCAUGGAUCAGUUCUAAGCAUAAGACUCCUUACUCAUGGAUCAAAUUUUAGCGUUAAGUCGAAUUAAACUUUACUCAUCAUUCACGGAUCAAUUCUAAGCAUAAGACUCCUUACUCAUGGAUCAAAUUCUAGCUUAGGUUUCACUCAUCUUUAGACUCAUCAUUCACGGAUCAAUUCUAAGCAUAAGACUCCUUACUCAUGGAUCAAAUUCUAGCGUUAAGCCGAAUUCAACUUUACUCAUCAUUCACGGAUCAAAUUUUAGCCUUUUUACUCAUCAUUCACGGAUCAGUUCUAAGCAUAAGACUCCAUAAUGAAUCAAUUUUUAGCGUAAGUCUAACUCAUCUUAAGGCUCCAAAUUCAUGGAUCAAUUUUAAGCUUAAGUCUCCUUACUCAUGAAUCAACUUUUAGCGCGUUUCACUCAUCCUUAGAUUCCUAAUUCACGGAUCAAUUUUAAGCUUAAGUCUCCUUACUCAUGAAUCAACUUUUAGCGCGUUUCACUCAUCUCAAGACUCCCUUUUUUUCACUGAUCAAAUGCAGGUUAGGACUCCUUACUCAUGGAUCAAAUUCUAGCUUAAGGUGAAUUCAACUUUACUCAUCAUUCCCGGAUCAAUUCUAAGCAUAAGACUCCAUAAUGAAUCAAUUUUUAGCGUAAGUCUAACUCAUCUUAAGACUCCUUUUUCAUGGAUCAAAUGUACGUUAAGACUCCUUACUCAUGGAUCAAAUGUCACCUAAGUCUAAUCAGCUAUGUGGUUUAUAUAAAUUCUUGACCAUCAAAAAAUCAGUUUAUUUACGGUUUUCUGAAUGAGUAAACUGUAAAACCAUUAAACUCGAUCUGUUGAAUUAGCUGUGUGACUUAUUCAUUCUUAUUCACAGACUCCCUUUAAUGAGUCAAUAUUUGGCUUAGGAUUCUUCACUCACGGAUCAAUUUCAUCUUAGUUAAGGCUCCCAGUCAUGGAUCAAUGUUAAGUUUAAGGCAUAACCCACAUUAUUCAUCCUUGGCUCCUCAUUCAUGGAUCAAAUUUAGCUAAGGACUCCAAUUCACGGAUCAAGUUUAGCUUAUCUUAUCCAUCUUCACUAAUCCUAAGACUCCUUAUUCAUGGAUCAAAUUUAGCUUAAGACUCCAAUUCCCGGAUCAAUUUUAGUUUAAGUCUGUUUCAUCUUCACUAAUCCUAAGACUUCUAAUUCAUGGAUCAAAUUUAGCUUAAGACUCCAUAAUGAAUCGAUUUAGCUUGUCUUAUCCAUCUUUACUCAUCCUAAGACUCCUAAUUAAUGGAUCAAAUUUAGCUUAAGACUCCAUAAUGAAUCGAUUUAGCUUGUCUUAUCCAUCUUUACUCAUCCUAAGACUCCUAAUUCAUGGAUCAAAUUUAGCUUAAGACUCCAUAAUGAAUCAGUUUUAGUGUAAGCCUUUUUCAUCUUUACUCAUCCUAAGACUCCUUAUUCAUGGAUCAAAAAGUUUAUUGCAUAUUUACUCAUCUUAAGACUCCUUAUUCAUGGAUCAAAUUUAGUUUAAGACUCCAAUGCAGAAUCCAUUUUAGUUUAAGUUUAUUUCAUAUUUACUCAUCCUAAGACUCCUUAUUCAUGGAUCAAAGUUAGUUUAAGACUCCAAUGCAUGAAUCCAUUUUAGUUUAAGUGUUUCAUCUUCACUAAUCCUAAGACUCCUUAUUCAUGGAUCAAUUUUAAAGUUUAUUUCAUAUUUACUCAUCCUAAGACUCCUUAUUCAUGGAUCAAAUUUAGUUUAAGACUCCAAUGCAUGAAUCCAUUUUAGUUUAAGUCUGUUUCAUCUUCACUAAUCCUAAGACUCCUUAUUCAUGGAUCAAUUUUAGAUAAAGUUUUUCAUAUUUACUCAUCCUAAGACUCCUUAUUCAUGGAUCAAAUUUAGUUUAAGACUCCAAUGCAUGAAUCCAUUUUAGUUUAAGUCUGUUUCAUCUUCACUAAUCCUAAGACUCCUUAUUCAUGGAUCAAUUUUAAAGUUUAUUUCAUAUUUACUCAUCCUAAGACUCCUUAUUCAUGGAUCAAAUUUAGUUUAAGACUCCAAUGCAUGAAUCCAUUUUAGUUUAAGUCUGUUUCAUCUUCACUAAUCCUAAGACUCCUUAUUCAUGGAUCAAUUUUAGAUAAAGUUUAUUUCAUAUUUACUCAUCCUAAGACUCCUUAUUCAUGGAUCAAAGUUAGUUUAAGUCUCCAAUUCACGGAUCAAUUUUAAGCAUAAGACUCCUUUAACAUGGAUCAAACUAAGCUUAAGACUCCUUUAUCGUGAGUCAAAUUAAGCUUAAGACUCCUUUAUCAUGGAUCAAGUGUAGUUUAAGACUUCCAAAUCAUUCAUCAAAGCCAGAUUAAAACUUUUCUUUAUGUUAUUCAUGAAAAAAAGUUAUUCAUUCUCACUAAACGGCUUCACUACGUUUAAUUAUUCAGUCAAGAAAGUCUCAUUCAAUAGUUAACUCAUUCACUUACUCAGAUUACUCAAUAGCUUACCCAAAGACUCCAAAACAUAUCAAUUAGUAUUAGUUUAGCCGAGUAAGACAUCCACUCACCUAACCAUUCAUUCACUCAAGCAAGACUCAUUCAAUCGUCAACUCAUUUCACUUACUCACUCAAAUUACUCAUUAGAUCACCAAAAGACUCCAAAACAUAUCAAUUAGUAUUAGUUUAGACUCGUAAGACAUUCACUUACUUAACCAUUCACUCACUUACUCAAACUCACAGACUAGAAAACUCAUACUCAACUGACUCAUUAUAAUAUUCAUGCAACCUUUUACUCAUGAUACAGUAGCUACCAUGUGCCUGUAGCUUGUAGGCGCUUUACAUAUCAAAACAUAUACUCAUUUACUCACACACAAUUCAUCAUAACCUUACUCAUUUCACUCACUAUUACUCAUGGUCAAACCCGAAAUGGUGCUAAUGAUAUCUCCAAGUCGCUUUAUAUAACUCAACAUUCACUUAUUCACACGAAGACUCAUAGUAAUUUUUGACUUAUUAAUACUUACUCCAAACCCAAAGUCGUCCUAAUUCCCAUCUUCCAGUCGCUUUAUAUAACUCAUCAUCCACUUACUCACACACGACUCAUAGUAAUUUUUGACUCAUUAACACUUACUCAUCACAAAACUCAUACUCAUCAUCAAACCCUAAGUCGUUCUAAUUAUCAUCUUCCACAACAUCUACUCACCAAAACUCACCUAACAAAAUUCACGGUAAUCUUCUGACUCAUUCACACUUACUCAUAACACUCACUCAUCACCCACCACCCAGUCUACUUAUAAUACUCACUGUGAAAUGUUAAAUGGUGCUAUUAGGAUUACGGUUUACUCAUUGCUGUCAUUAAUUCAUAGUAAGCAUCAGUAGUAGUAAUGAUGAUAAUAAUAAUAAUAAUAAUAAUAAUAAUAAUAAUAAUAAUAAUAAUAAUAAUAAUAAUAAUAAUAAUAAUAAUAAUAAUAAUAAUAAUAAUAAUAAUGAAAAACUGGAUCAAAUAAAGCCUUGUCUGUCUGUGCGAUAAGCUGGCUUCGCCCCUAACCCUGUGACAUCAAGUUCAGGUUUGGGGGGUCAAGGGUCAACGUUACCGCCGGGCAGACUGGCUUGCGAAAACAGAACGCGUACUAAACCUGACCUGUCCGCUGCUUGUUGACCUGUGCUGAUGUUUGGGUGUGUGGGAUUAGGUAAUUGGUUGACUGGUUGGAUGAUUGGUUGAUUGAUUGAAAGACUGACUAAUUGAUUUCUUAAUUGAUUGGCUGAAUGACUGGUUGACUAACUGACUGAUUGAAAGACUAAUGACAGAUUGAUUUUCUAAUUGACUGACUGAACGACUGCUUGACUGACUGACUGAUUGAAAGACUGACUGAUUGAAAGACUGACAGAUUGAUUUCCUAAUUGAUUGACUGAAUGACUGGUUGAUUGACUGACUUCCUGAUUGGUUUGUUGAUUGAAUGAAUGACUUUCCGAUUGACUGAUAAAUUGAUUAACUGAGAAAACACACAAAAAAAAGAUUAUGUUGAAAAAGUUACAUUUCGACUUUGUAGAAGAGAGAGAGAGAGAGAGAGAGAGAGAGAGAGAGAGAGAGAGAGAGAGAGAGAGAGAGAGAGAGAGAGAGAGAGAGAGAGAGAGAGAGAGAGAGAGCAACCCCCCCCCCCCCCUUCAACAUUAGCCAAUCUUCAAGUUUUGGGUCACGGAAAAAAUAUGAUUGUAAAAAAAAAAAUUCAUGUAUACUUUGAAAAAAGAAAAGAAAUUGUGUAUACCAAAAAAAUUAACAUAUCAGUGUGUGUAUAUGUAUGUGCGUCUGAAGCGUGUACGUAUUUGAGAUUAUUGCCUAUGUGCGUAUGUGACUGUUUCUAUGUACGUAGAUUUACCUGUGUAUGUACUUAUGUAUGUAUACCAAACGAUACAUAUCAAUAAAAGGUAUAAAUGUA